GUUAGGAAUCUUCCACAAUGGGGGCAACCCUGAUGGAGCAACACCGCGUGCUGGAUGAAGGCCUUCGGGUCGUAAACAGCUUUUGUAUACGAAGAAUAUGACGGUAAUAUACGAAUAAGGGUCGGCUAACUACGUGCCAGCAGCCGUGGUCAUACGUAGGACCCAAGCGUUAUCCGGAGUGACUGGGCGUAAAGAGUUGCGUAGGCGGCUUAUUAAGCGAGUAGUGAAAUCUGGUGGCUCAACCAUCAACACAUUGCUCGAACUGAUAGGCUUGAGAAUGGUAGAGGUAGUUGGAAUUUCUUGUGUAGGAGUGAAAUCCGUAGAUAUAAGAAGGAACACCAAUGGCGUAGGCAGACUACUGGACCAUUUCUGACGCUGAGGCACGAAAGCGUGGGGAGCGAACCGGAUUAGAUACCCUUGUAGUCC
rnacentral:rRNA from 1 species